GUUUCCAACCAAAGACAUGCACGCCUCGUGCCUUCUUUUGUCAAUCCUUAGGUAUCAUAAAUCAAUCUCUCUCUCUCUCGUGCCUUCUUUUGUCAAUCCUUAGGUAUCAUAAAUCUCUCUCUCUCUCUCUCUCUGGGAAGGUUUCCUUUAAAGGCUUUCCAACAGAGAGCUAAGACGCUUCAUCACUCCUUCGAUUCCUCGUUUAUGGGUUUGGUCUCUCUGGGGGACUGGUCUUGUGGGCAUACAUGUGUGUUGGUUUGAGAGGUUGAAGCUGCCAGCAUGAUCUGGUAAUUAACUCAUAAUUUAAAACCUGUUCCUUGUUUUUGUUCCCCCUUUUCUCUCUUUCAAUUUAGUCUUUCCGUCUGCAUAUAUACCUGCAAAGUCUGGAUUUCUAAGCUUAUCUAUCCAUGGACAGUUUGACUUUGCGUUGUCUUUGCAAAUGAUGCUUUUUCGGUCGAUCCAGUGAAGUUUGCACGAAUCCUUGCUAUUAGAAUCGGUAAGAGUCGAAUCAUAACGACUCAUUUCGAUUUCAUUCAGUGAACUCGAUUGACUACAAUCUAUUGCGCAUAAAACAAAGGUAUGGCUGGCUUGGUGUAAAAAGAUUUUAACUUUGGUUGAAUCAAGCAACGGAUGCACAGAUCGCAUCCUAGGCAUCGUGAUGCAAUCAUAUCGCAUCUCAAACGGGUUUUUACAUACCCCAAGCUUGCAUAGUUCUGGUUUUUUUUCGAAAAUACAUGAGAAUGCAUAUCAUGUAUGUUCUUUAAAGUUUCAAGGGUCUCAAUUUUUACUCACCCAAACAAACUUUUACCUAGCAAGCUAGGUCAAGAAACUUGUUUCAAAAUUAGCUACAUUAAGAUGAAAUUAGAGGGCAUCAUAUCAGGUCAUCUUGCAGCUUCAAUCACUCAUUCACCAACAAAAAGGGGACUCCUUGUUCAAUGGCUUGUCUCCCCCAAUACUUAGCCCAGAUCAGGCCAUCCCCAACUACCUCGAUUUCUCGUCAAAGUACAAAAUUUGGUCAAGAAACGGUCAAACCUUGUGUUAUUCAACCGCUCAACCGGGUGAUUGAUAAAAACCGGACCAUGCCGUUUGAAUUGGCUGGUCAACUGAUGCUGAAGUAAUUGUUGGGCACAAACUCUUUGGCAUAAACUCUUUAUGAUGCUGUUUAUGCCAAAUUGCGGUGCAGAUUUUCACCAAAUACUUAGUUAGGAACAGUAUAGUGCAAAAGAAGAAUAAAAAACAAUCAAGAGCGGUCCUCUAUACCACGCAGAUCUAGUAACAACUUAUGAAUGCAUGUCCCUAACGAGUAGAUGAGGGAAGAACAGGCAUUUGUCUAGAUGAAGUUGGGGAUAACACAAAACCCGCAAAGAAGCAACAAAGAAACUUUCCAAGCAAGAUCCAGUGACCGAUAAAUAGGGGAUCGAGGAUAACUAGGACUGACUUUCUUAAGGUGACUGCCAGAAUACAGUUAUCUCUGGUUUGUUUCUUCACAACACAUGGAACCAAACGUCAAAACCUUGAACUUCCUUAGAUGUUAUCAUUUUGAUAGAGAGAACCUUCCUCUGUCAUGAGAAGAAAAAUAAUCAAUGUUGGGGCCAAUAGGGAUAACACCCAAUGGAUCCA